UACGUAGGCAGCGAGCGUUGUUCGGAAUUACUGGGCGUAAAGAGUGUGUAGGCGGUGCUCUAAGUUCGGUGUGAAAUCUCCGCUUAACUGGGAGGGUGCGCCGGAAACUGGAGUGCUCGAGCGUGGGAGAGGAAAGCGGAAUUCCUGGUGUAGCGGUGAAAUGCGUAGAUAUCAGGAGGAACACCUGCGGUGUAGACGCUUUCUGGACCAUUGCUGACGCUGAGACACGAAAGCGUGGGUAGCAAACAGG
rnacentral:rRNA from 1 species